CUCCAGUGCCUACUGAUCUGGAAUCAGUGUGUGUCUGUUGACUGCUGGCUCAGUUCAGCAGGAACAGGAG
rnacentral:pre_miRNA from 8 species